rnacentral:rRNA from 1 species
CUAGCCGUAAACGAUGUUCACUAGGUGUUGGGGAGAUAUACUCUUCGGUGCCGCAGCUAACGCAUUAAGUGAACCGCCUGGGGAGUACGAUCGCAAGGUCGAAACUCAAAGGAAUUGACGGGGACCCGCACAAACGGUGGAGCAUGUGGUUUAAUACGACGAUACGCGUGGAACCUUACCCAGGCUUGACAUGUAUUGGACAGCUCUAUGAAAGUAGAGCCUUUUCUUCGGAAACUGAUACACAGGUGU